GUAAACUGUCAACUCCAAAGUAAAUAAUAACAAUACAAAUAAGUGUUUACACUAAUUCAUCAAUGCAUCACUACUUUAUGACAAACCCAAACUUCUAAAAUGUCUUGUUCUACAACUUCUCUAAUGGAUGUCAAAAUAGUUUUUUCCGAUAAUAAUGCUGUUAAAGAAGAACAGUGUAAUCCACCCAAUGUUCUUGAGGAACCCAGUGUGAACAAUCAGCCCAAGAUUGAGAUCAAUGAUAGACUGGUCAGUAAUGGAAACAGCAUCACAGCCCCUUGUGAUAUCAGCAAGAUAGAAAAUGAGUUGAAAAAUGAACCGAAAAGAAAA